rnacentral:SRP_RNA from 1 species
GCCGGGUGUGGUGGCUCACGCCUGUAAUCCCAGCACUUUGGGAGGCUGAGGUGGGUGGAUCACCUGAGGUCAGGAGUUCGAGAGCAGCCUGGCCAACAUGGUGAAACCCUGUCUCUA